rnacentral:rRNA from 1 species
AUUGAACGCUGGCGGCAGGCCUAACACAUGCAAGUCGAACGAGUGGCGGACGGGUGAGUAAUGUCUGGGAAACUGCCUGAUGGAGGGGGUUAACUACUGGAAACGGUAGCUAAUACCGCAUACCAUCCGAUGUUCCCAGAUGGGAUUAGCUUGUUGGUGGGGUAACGGCUCACCAAGGCGACGAUCCCUAGCUGGUCUGAGAGGAUGACCAGACACACCUGAACUGAGACACGGUCCAGACUCCUAAGGGAGGCAGCAUUGGGGACUAUUGCAGAAGGGGCGCAAGCCUGAUGCAUCCAUGCCGGGUGUAUGAAGAAGGCCUUCGGGUUGUAAAGUACUUUCAGCGGGGAGGCGUUACCCGCAGAAGAAGCACCGGCUAACUCCGUGCCAGCAGCCGCGGUAAUAC